CCACGUUGGGCUCUGUGCUGAGUGUGUGUGUCUCUCUGCCCCUCCCCUACUCACACUCUUUCUCAAAAAUAAAUAAACAUUAAACAAUUUUUUUAAUUACAUAAUUCCAUAUUUAUUUAGACUCUUCUUGGAGCCCUUUUCUUCACACAUUUUGCCAUCAUCCAAAGAAGCAUGCAUAAGAGGACUUGAGUAAAAAUCUCCUCCAUGAGUAUCAUUGUAUUGAUCAGAUUUAUGGAUGAAAGCGAUGGAGGUGUCAGCAUGAUCCCUGAUCUUCCAGCUCUAACAAGUCUUGAUAUUCACUGAAAUCCAGAAGAGAAAAGCAGGAAUAUGUGGAUGGGAGACGAAUGUGAUCUUGAAAAUGCUGAAUAUGAGAUCCGAUGACAAUAUGAAAUAAUUAUCUGAAAUUUAUGGGAAGAUCUGUGCUGGAGAUGCUCAUUUAGAUGUUAUCAAUGUGCUCAUGAAAACUGAAGCAGUGGCGGAGACUGAAAAUUCUGAAGUAUGCAGGAUCUUCCUGGAAUAUAUCAAAUUACCACCAUCACACAUCCAGGAGCUUGAACAAACUAAAGCAGCAAUAUAAAAAGGGAUACAAAAAGGAAUACAAAAAGGUAAUGCAGCUCAAAAAACAAAAUAUGGAGACACUUUCAUUACAGAAUAUGUGAUAAAAGUAAAUACACUAAGAAGACACCUCUGUUGGAAGAAAAAACUCUUUUUGUCUUGUGCAUGCUUCAGACACAGGACCCAGAAUGGCCUCUCUGCCACUUCUACCCUCAUGUAUCAUCUACAGUGGAGCUAAAUGGACUGAAUAACAACUUCAGGCUGGAAAGAGGGGAACCAGUGCAGUCCCAAAGGAAUGAAGCACAGCAGUUAAAAAGAGCACUCCUCUGGGGCAAGUGACUAUUAUCCUAAUUUUACAAAUGAGGAAACUGAAAGAAUAACCAGCCAGAUUUCACACAUCCAGUAAGAGCUUCAAUGGCGACUGGAAUUGGUAAGUUUAUUAGUCAUUUAGUAUUUUACACGCUUAUAUUGAUCUUGUCAAUCUAAAUCCAUAAUUAUAUGUACCCUUCACAAUGCCAAUAUCUAUUUUCUCUUUGCAAGUGGAAGUAUAAAAGGUGAACAAAAUUAAUAAUAUUUGCUAUGAUUCAAAAAUAAAUAUACAAGUUCCUCCACACAUAAAAAACGCUGUUGCCAUGAGUCAGAAGAGAAUGAGGUCAGGGGUGUUUGUAUAAACCGGAAAUAACUAUAUACAAUAAGAUACAUCCUCAGUGGCAUAUGUAAAUUUUAUCACAGGAUGUGCAUCUUAAGGAACUCACAAAUAAAAGUCCUCAACAAUUCCAGCCCAGCUGUCCCUUAUGGAACAUAAUGGCUCUUGGGCUCUCU